CAGGGACUACAGAUGUGGGGAAGUUUGAGAGAAGCAGUCAGACUGUAGUGAAGAGGUUGCAUAAUGUAUGCAUGUUAUCUACAGUAAAACAGUAAUGUUCCAGUACAUUAAUGGUUUCCUGCAUCUGCGGUGUCUUUCAUCUUCAUCUCUCUGUGUGGGCUGUGUGUAAGCGUGGUAACAGGCCCUUCUGGCCCAACAAGUCCACACCGCCCAUUUUAAACCCAUAUUAACCUACCUGUACGUCUUUGGAAUGUGGGAAGAAACCGGAGCACCCGGAGGAAACCGACACAGACACAGGAGAACAUACAAACUUCUUACAGACAGGGACGGGAAUCGAAACCCGAUCACUGGCGCUGUAACAGCGUCGCGCUAACCGCUACGCUACCAUGUCGCCCACAGUUACUUUUGAAGAGUAACACCACCAGCCCUAACCUUCCAAAUGAGGUCACGGAAAUGCUCCCAGCUCCAUGCGGCUCACUCUUGGAACCGGUUUCCUGGGUGACCUCUUCCCAUUGCUGCUUUAUUUCUGCUUGAGGUGUCCAACUUCCCCACAUAGACACUAGGAGAUUCUGGUGGCCUGCCCCGCAGGUGAGGCUCCUUUCACCAUCUGAUCCAGUGCAACUGGACAUGGCCUUGUGUUUCUGUGAUUAGCUGGAGCACUGGUGGCAGGUCGCACGGGAUGAGGAUCCCCCACGCUCAGGAUAUCUACUGACAGAUAAGUAACCUGCAGUAACAGUGGAAACAGUGAAGUGAGUGCAUGAAGUGUAUACAAUAUAGGCAUCGGGAUCACAAAAGAAUUACAGAUGCCAGCAGCCUGUGACUAUUGAACGGUUCCCUUAUACGAUGAGAUGGACUCUUGACCUCACAAUCUACCUUGUUAUGACCUUGCACCUUAUUGUCUACCUGCACUGCACUUCCCUGUAGCUGUGACACUUUACUCUGUGUUCUGUUAUUGUUUUAACCCUGUACUUCCUCAAUGCACUGUGUAAUGAAUUGAUCUGUAUGAACAGUAUGCAAGACAAGUUUUUCACUGUACUUCGGUACAAGUGACAAUAAUAAACUAAUACCAAUACCAAUACCAAUAAACAUGUGCAGGUCACCUGGACAGUGCUGAUCUUUGUUCUACCGUUUGCAGCCACCAAUCUCAAGAAAACGAGGAUAUGUAAAUUCUGCACAAAGGGUCAGUUCAGUUGUGGAUUUGCCAAUUAAAUUCCUUCUGUCUUUUUCAGUUCUGCCUCAUUUGAUCUCUGUACUGGAAAGCUUUUCAUUCUGUGACAUUAGUUUAUGGGACUAACAGCUUUGAUCUGAAGAAGUGGCUUGUUUUCUAGUGUGUAAGAACUUAAGCUAUUGAUUUGAUAUUGCUUGGGUUACUUUGAGAGGCCCAAAGCUGGCCAACCAAACAUUUUCCUCAAUUCGAAAUGGUGUUUACUCAGUCUAAUCCAGUUUAGUUCAGUCAAUAAUCUGUUAUCAUCAAAAUGACAGUUAAAUAAAUGUUAACAUUUCAUAAGUCAAAUAUUGAGAAACAUUUCAAAGUGAACUGCUGGAUCGUAUGAAGUAAUUCUGAUGGACAGUGUUCUUCUGCAAAUAAAUGUCAAUUGCUUGGUAAAGCAAAAUGUGUGCUGGAACCACGAGCUGUAACCUACCUCUGUGCUGUGAUUGUUCCCUCAUUCCUGACCAGUGGUCUUCUCACCAUCUGAAAUUCUGCUCCUGUUAACUGCAAAUUUGCUGGUUAUAGGCAAGCAAUGGACUGGACAUGGACUCAUGCACGCAGACACAGACAGACAGACAGACAGACAGACAGACAGACAGACACACACACACACACACACACACACACACACACACACACACACACACACACACACACACACACACACACACACACACACACACACACACACACACACACACACACACACGCAGAGUUGAAGCCUAAAUAAAAACUGCCUGGAUCUCCAACACAGUACAGAUUACUUCUUCAUCAGGUGUGAGCUGGGGAUGGUGGGGAGUGGGACUUAGUGGGGGCGGGGGGGAGUGUUCUGAAGAUGGAGAGGCAGGUGUGGUCUAGGAGGGGGAGGUGGAGAGUGCAGGGAAGAGCCUGGGGUUAAGGAGCUGGAAAUUGUGGGGAAGUAGUAGCCAGACAUUUUGAGUAAAGUCACACAUUCGACACAUAAUGUCUGGGGAGUGACAUAAAAGCAGAAAAUUCCUCAGUUAAGUUCAUCUUCCCUCAGGUGACCGUGAAAGUUUGGGAGGGCACAUGGACGAAAUGUUACCUGUCACCUUCUCCAUCCUGUAACAUUGUUUCACUCCGCAAUCAGUCCAGUGAAUGGGAUCUCAGACCAGCUGCAUUUGUAGCCCAUUGGAUGGUAGAACUGACCAGCAUGCAGCCAAAACAUCUCUUGGUUUAGGUAUGGGUAACUCUUGGUCUUGGUUUGGUAUGGGCAGGCACGGUAGUGUAGCAGUUAGCAUAACGUUAUUACAGCACCAGUGACUCGUGUUCAAUUCCCACUGCUGUCUGUAAGGAGUUUGUACCUUCUCCCUGUGACUGCAUGGGUUUCCUCCGGGUGUUCUGAUUUCCUCCCACAUUCCAAAGACGUAUGGGUUAGGAAGUUGUGGGCUGGCGUCGGAAGCAUGGCGACACUUGUGGG